GGUGAAAAGCACCCCGGAAGGGGAGUGAAAUAGAACCUGAAACCGUGUGCUUACAAGUAGUCAGAGCCCGUUAAUGGGUGAUGGCGUGCCUUUUGUAGAAUGAACCGGCGAGUUACGAUUUGAUGCAAGGUUAAGCAGUAAAUGUGGAGCCGUAGCGAAAGCGAGUCUGAAUAGGGCGUUUAGUAUUUGGUCGUAGACCCGAAACCAGGUGAUCUACCCUUGGUCAGGUUGAAGUUCAGGUAACACUGAAUGGAGGACCGAACCGACUUACGUUGAAAAGUGAGCGGAUGAACUGAGGGUAGCGGAGAAAUUCCAAUCGAACCUGGAGAUAGCUGGUUCUCUCCGAAAUAGCUUUAGGGCUAGCCUCAAGUGAUGAUUAUUGGAGGUAGAGCACUGUUUGGACGAGGGGCCCCUCUCGGGUUACCGAAUUCAGACAAACUCCGAAUGCCAAUUAAUUUAACUUGGGAGUCAGAACAUGGGUGAUAAGGUCCGUGUUCGAAAGGGAAACAGCCCAGACCACCAGCUAAGGUCCCAAAAUAUAUGUUAAGUGGAAAAGGAUGUGGCGUUGCCCAGACAACUAGGAUGUUGGCUUAGAAGCAGCCAUCAUUUAAAGAGUGCGUAAUAGCUCACUAGUCGAGUGACACUGCGCCGAAAAUGUACCGGGGCUAAACAUAUUACCGAAGCUGUGGAUUGUCCUUUGGACAAUGGUAGGAGAGCGUUCUAAGGGC
rnacentral:rRNA from 1 species